rnacentral:rRNA from 1 species
GAUGAACGCUAGCGGCAGGCCUAAUACAUGCAAGUCGGACGGGAUAGGAGAGCUUGCUUUCCUUGAGAGUGGCGCACGGGUGCGUAACACGUAUGUAACCUACCUUAUCCAGGGGGGAUAGCCUCUCGAAAGAGAGAUUAAGACCGCAUAACAUUAUGAACAGCAUUGUUAACAAUCAAAUAUUUAUAGGGAUAAGAUGGGCAUGCGGGACAUUAGCAG